UACGAAGGGUGCAAGCGUUAAUCGGAAUUACUGGGCGUAAAGCGUGCGUAGGCGGUUGGCUAAGUCAGAUGUGAAAGCCCUGGGCUCAACCUGGGAAUGGCAUUUGAAACUGGCCGGCUAGAGUGUGAUAGAGGAUGGCGGAAUUCCCAGUGUAGAGGUGAAAUUCGUAGAUAUUGGGAAGAACACCGGUGGCGAAGGCGGCGUUCUGGACUGCAACUGACACUGAUGAACGAAAGCCAGGGGAGCAAACGGG
rnacentral:rRNA from 1 species